rnacentral:rRNA from 1 species
AUUGAACGCUGGCGGCAUGCCUUACACAUGCAAGUCGAACGGCAGCACGGGUGCUUGCACCUUGGGGCGAGUGGCGAACGGGUGAGUAAUACAUCGGAACAUGUCCUGUAGUGGGGGAUAGCCCGGCGAAAGCCGGAUUAAUACCGCAUACGAUCUACGGAUGAAAGCGGGGGACCUUCGGGCCUCGCGCUAUAGGGUUGGCCGAUGGCUGAUUAGCUAGUUGGUGGGGUAAAGGCCUACCAAGGCGACGAUCAGUAGCUGGUCUGAGAGGACGACCAGCCACACUGGGACUGAGACACGGCCCAGACUCCUACGGGAGGCAGCAGUGGGGAAUUUUGGACAAUGGGCGAAAGCCUGAUCCAGCAAUGCCGCGUGUGUGAAGAAGGCCUUCGGGUGGUAAAGCACUUUUGUCCGGAAAGAAAUCCUUGGCCCUAAGACGGUCGGGGGAUGACGGUACCGGAAGAAUAAGCACCGGCUAACUACGU